CAACCCAAAGGCUUUCCGAGAGAUUCGAGAGACAUGGUUCAACUAAUGGUGCACUAUCCUUCUCCCAAACAUUUCUCAGCGAAACCACUGAGUACAACUUAUUAAACGGAAACUACGAACAAGAUCUUAGCGCUGUCUCAACCAUCCACAGCUCAAGGGAUUAAUGUGCUGUUUUUUAUGCUGGAGUCAUGAAUCGCCUCUUUGCACAAUUUGUUUCUAAUCAACCCUUUUUCCGUGUUCCUCUUUUUAGUAGAAAGCGAAAUGAGAAUAAUGAGAAUCGUAAUAGUAGUUCCACGCCCCCUCUCGCCCCUUAAACCAACCAAAAAGAAGAAGGCGCUUUCCGAAAACGAUCAAGGCAGGGAUUUCCGGUAGUCAUCUAUCGCGACAAUGGAUCAACCCGAUUUCCAAGCUAGAAGAAAAAAAAAUUCAAACUUGGAAAGACAGAUCUCGCUCAAAAAAAGUGGAACUCCAACCAUUCUCCUUAUGGAAACCGCUUGCCACCGGGAUCAGCAAGUUGCCCUUUCAUUUUGCUUCGGCAAUAGAUCAAAAUAGAGGCAACAAAG
rnacentral:misc_RNA from 1 species